rnacentral:rRNA from 1 species
UACGUAGGCAGCAAGCGUUGUUCGGAUUUACUGGGCGUAAAGGGUGUGUAGGCGGUUCUUUAAGUUUGGUGUGAAAUCUCCCGGCUCAACCGGGAGGGUGCGCCGAAUACUGAGGGACUAGAGUGUGGGAGAGGAAAGUGGAAUUCCUGGUGUAGCGGUGAAAUGCGUAGAUAUCAGGAGGAACACCGGUGGUGUAGACGGCUUUCUGGACCAUAACUGACGCUGAGACACGAAAGCGUGGGUAGCAAACAGG